UUGGAGGGCAAGUCUGGUGCCAGCAGCCGCGGUAACUCCAGCUCCAAUAGCGUAUAUUAAAGUUGUUGCAGUUAAAAAGCUCGUAGUUGAACCUUGGGCCUGGCUGGCCGGUCCGCCUCACCGCGUGCACUGGUCCGGCCGGGCCUUUCCCUCUGGGGAACCGCAUGCCCUUCACUGGGUGUGUCGGGGAACCAGGACUUUUACUUUGAACAAAUUAGAUCGCUUAAAGAAGGCCUAUGCUCGAAUACAUUAGCAUGGAAUAAUAGAAUAGGACGUGUGGUUCUAUUUUGUUGGUUUCUAGGACCGCCGUAAUGAUUAAUAGGGACAGUCGGGGGCAUCAGUAUUCAAUUGUCAGAGGUGAAAUUCUUGGAUUUAUUGAAGACUAACUACUGCGAAAGCAUUUGCCAAGGAUGUUUUCAUUAAUCAGGAACGAAAGUUAGGGGAUCGAAGACGAUCAGAUACCGUCGUAGUCUUAACCGUAAACUAUGCCGACUAGGGAUCGGACGAUGUUAUAUUUUGACUCGUUCGGCGCCUUACGGGAAAC
rnacentral:rRNA from 1 species